CUUUCUUCAGAGAGCUGAUGAUGUAGGCGUGGACCUGCGAACGGAGGAGGAAGCGUCAGCAUUUUCACGGGGAUAUUUCUCGACAGAUGGCUGGAAAGUCGAUCCUGAAUAAUGAGGACCCAAUAUCACUCCCAGAACCUGAGCAGAAAGUUCUAAAAGAGGUUCAGGACCAGAACCAGAACCAGCAGAUGACAUGGCUCCCCAAAUCAUCACUGACUGACUGUAGAAACUUCACAUUAAGCUUCUAGCAGCCUGGAUUCACUCUUCCUCCAGACUCUGCCACAUUGACUUCCAAAUAGCAUACAACAUAUAGUUUCAUAAGAAAAAAAAGGAUCAUGAUCCGAGUAACAAUCCAAAUUAUUUCCUCCAUUAUCCCCGUUGCUUCAUUUUUAACCACACUUUUUCCUUCUACUCAACUUUCCAUUAAGUCAGUCAGCUUCUUUAGGUAGGGACUUUUUUCGCAUAACCUUCAUGAUAGUGUGGACUAUAAA